ensembl:lncRNA novel transcript
AGCUUCCGGGAGGGCGGCUCGCAGGCACCAUGACUCCUGUGAGGAUGCAGCACUCCCUGGCAGGUCAGACCUAUGCCGUGCCCCUCAUCCAGCCAGACCUGCGGCGAGAGGAGGCCGUCCAGCAGAUGGCGGAUGCCCUGCAGUACCUGCAGAAGGUCUCUGGAGACAUCUUCAGCAGUGAGAGCGGCCUUGCUGCGGCCAAAGAACAUGGAAAAGCAUGAGUGGGGUGAUGUGCCUUAAAGCAUCAGACACUUGGGCCUCGGGCAUCAGGAGCCAGCCACAGGGAUGUCUGGGGAAAUGGCGUUCCAUGAGAUGCAAGCACACAAGAAUGCACUUGGCACAUCUGGGGAACAGCAGGCAGCUGAUAUCACUGGGCCCACCCCGCACCAGGGAGGAUGGAAGCAGGUCAGAUUAUCCUUGUAGAGGCCCCCUGGAUGGCACCAAGAUCGGCCCUGGCAAGUAGAGCAGAGCCGGAGCCAGGUGCAGGCCAUUGGAGAGAAGGUCUCCUUGGCCCAGGCCAAGAUUGAGAAGAUCAAGGGCAGCAAGAAGGCCAUCAAGGUGUUCUCCAGUGCCAAGUACCCUGCUCCAGAGCGCCUGCAGGAAUAUGGCUCCAUCUUCACGGGCGCCCAGGACCCUGGCCUGCAGAGACGCCCCCGCCACAGGAUCCAGAGCAAGCACCGCCCCCUGGACGAGCGGGCCCUGCAGGAGAAGCUGACUUUCCUGUGUGCGUGAGCACCAAGCCGGAGCCCGAGGACGAUGCAGAAGAGGGACU